rnacentral:rRNA from 1 species
CGAACGCUGGCGGCGUGCUUAACACAUGCAAGUCGAACGGUGAUGGGGGAGCUUGCUCUUCUUGAUCAGUGGCGAACGGGUGAGUAACACGUGGGCAACCUGCCCCUGACUUCGGGAUAACGCUUCGAAAGGGGUGCUAAUACCGGAUAUGAGCUCCUUGGGCAUCCUUGGGGCUGGAAAGUUCUUCGGUCAGGGAUGGGCCCGCGGCCUAUCAGCUUGUUGGUGAGGUAGUGGCUCACCAAGGCGACGACGGGUAGCCGGCCUGAGAGGGCGACCGGCCACACUGGGACUGAGACACGGCCCAGACUCCUACGGGAGGCAGCAGUGGGGAAUAUUGGGCAAUGGAGGAAACUCUGACCCAGCGACGCCGCGUGCGGGAUGAAGGCCUUCGGUUGUAAACCGCUUUCAGCAGGAAGAAGCGAAAGUGACGGUACCUGCAGAAGAAGCACCGGCUAACUAUGUGCCAGCAG